GAUGAACGCUGGCGGCGUGCCUAAUACAUGCAAGUCGAGCGAACGGACGAGAAGCUUGCUUCUCUGAUGUUAGCGGCGGACGGGUGAGUAACACGUGGAUAACCUACCUAUAAGACUGGGAUAACUUCGGGAAACCGGAGCUAAUACCGGAUAAUAUUUUGAACCGCAUGGUUCAAAAGUGAAAGACGGUCUUGCUGUCACUUAUAGAUGGAUCCGCGCUGCAUUAGCUAGUUGGUAAGGUAACGGCUUACCAAGGCAACGAUGCAUAGCCGACCUGAGAGGGUGAUCGGCCACACUGGAACUGAGACACGGUCCAGACUCCUACGGGAGGCAGCAGUAGGGAAUCUUCCGCAAUGGGCGAAAGCCUGACGGAGCAACGCCGCGUGAGUGAUGAAGGUCUUCGGAUCGUAAAACUCUGUUAUUAGGGAAGAACAUAUGUGUAAGUAACUGUGCACAUCUUGACGGUACCUAAUCAGAAAGCCACGGCUAACUACGUGCCAGCAGCCGCGGUAAUACGUAGGUGGCAAGCGUUAUCCGGAAUUAUUGGGCGUAAAGCGCGCGUAGGCGGUUUUUUAAGUCUGAUGUGAAAGCCCACGGCUCAACCGUGGAGGGUCAUUGGAAACUGUUAAACUUGAGUGCAGGAGAGAAAAGUGGAAUUCCUAGUGUAGCGGUGAAAUGCGUAGAGAUUAGGAGGAACACCAGUGGCGAAGGCGGCUUUUUGGCCUGUAACUGACACUGAGGCGCGGAAGCGUGGGGAGCAAACAGGAUUAGAUACCCUGGUAGUCCACGCCGUAAACGAUGAGUGCUAAGUGUUGGUCUCAUAAGAGAUCAGUGCUGCAGCUAACGCAUUAAGCACUCCGCCUGGGGAGUACGACCGCAAGGUUGAAGCUCAAAGGAAUUGACGGGGGCCCGCACAAGCGGUGGAGCAUGUGGUUUAAUUCGAAGCAACGCGAAGAACCUUACCAAGUCUUGACAUACUGUGAGGACACAAGAGAUUGUGUUGUUCUGACCUUUGGUUAGACACAGAUACAGGUGGUGCAUGGUUGUCGUCAGCUCGUGUCGUGAGAUGUUGGGUUAAGUCCCGCAACGAGCGCAACCCUUAUAUCUAGUUGCCAGCAGUAAGAUGGGGACUCUAGAUAGACUGCCAGUGAUAAACUGGAGGAAGGUGGGGAUGACGUCAAAUCAUCAUGCCCCUUAUGACUUGGGCUACGCACGUGCUACAAUGGAUAGGAACAAAGAGAAGCGAGCUCGCGAGAGUAAGCAAACCUCACAAAACUAUUCUCAGUUCGGAUUGUAGUCUGCAACUCGACUACAUGAAGCUGGAAUCGCUAGUAAUCGCGAAUCAGAAUGUCGCGGUGAAUACGUUCCCGGGUCU
rnacentral:rRNA from 1 species